rnacentral:lncRNA from 1 species
CAGGGGUUAAGAAAUUUUGUAAUAGCUCACUAGCCCAGGGCUAAUUGGUAGCAGGAUUUUACUAGCCCUGUUGGAAGAACUACUAGCCCAACAAAACUGACAUACUAGCCCUAAUAUGCCUUACAAAUUCAGAGUUUGCUGCAAUAACCAUGAAUUCUAUAAACUUAACAUUUUUUUUAUCCAUUGUACAGAAGAUUUUUGCAAAUUG